ACGACUCUCGGCAACGGAUAUCUCGGCUCUCGCAUCGAUGAAGAACGUAGCGAAAUGCGAUACUUGGUGUGAAUUGCAGAAUCCCGCGAACCAUCGAGUCUUUGAACGCAAGUUGCGCCCGAGGCCCCCCGGCCGAGGGCACGCCUGCCUGGGCGUCACGCACCGUGCU
rnacentral:rRNA from 2 species